AGUGCCGGGGGAGAGGGGCGUAAAUGCAGUCGAGCGGUAGGCCUUUCGGGGUACACGAGCGGCGAACGGGUGAGUAACACGUGGGUGAUCUGCCCUGCACUUCGGGAUAAGCCUGGGAAACUGGGUCUAAUACCGGAUAUGACCUCCGGUUGCAUGACUUGGGGUGGAAAGAUUUAUCGGUGCAGGAUGGGCCCGCGGCCUAUCAGCUUGUUGGUGGGGUAAUGGCCUACCAAGGCGACGACGGGUAGCCGACCUGAGAGGGUGACCGGCCACACUGGGACUGAGACACGGCCCAGACUCCUACAGGAGGCANCAGUGGGGAAUAUUGCACAAUGGGCGAAAGCCUGAUGCAGCGACGCCGCGUGAGGGAUGACAGCCUUCGGGUUGUAAACCGCUUUCAGCGGGGACAAAAGCGCAAGUGACGGUACCAGACAAAUAGGCACCUGCUAGGUCCCUGCGUGCAGGCGCAUUAAUACAGAG
rnacentral:rRNA from 1 species